AUAAUGGGUCAGCGACUUAUAUUCUGUAGCAAGGUUAACCGAAUAGGGGAGCCGAAGGGAAACCGAGUCUUAACUGGGCGUUAAGUUGCAGGGUAUAGACCCGAAACCCGGUGAUCUAGCCAUGGGCAGGUUGAAGGUUGGGUAACACUAACUGGAGGACCGAACCGACUAAUGUUGAAAAAUUAGCGGAUGACUUGUGGCUGGGGGUGAAAGGCCAAUCAAACCGGGAGAUAGCUGGUUCUCCCCGAAAGCUAUUUAGGUAGCGCCUCGUGAAUUCAUCUCCGGGGGUAGAGCACUGUUUCGGCAAGGGGGUCAUCCCGACUUACCAACCCGAUGCAAACUGCGAAUACCGGAGAAUGUUAUCACGGGAGACACACGGCGGGUGCUAACGUCCGUCGUGAAGAGGGAAACAACCCAGACCGCCAGCUAAGGUCCCAAAGUCAUGGUUAAGUGGGAAACGAUGUGGGAAGGCCCAGACAGCCAGGAUGUUGGCUUAGAAGCAGCCAUCAUUUAAAGAAAGCGUAAUAGCUCACUGGUCGAGUCGGCCUGCGCGGAAGAUGUAACGGGGCUAAACCAUGCACCGAAGCUGCGGCAGCGACGCUGAUGCGUUGUUGGGUAGGGGAGCGUUCUGUAAGCCUGUGAAGGUGUGCUGUGAGGCAUGCUGGAGGUAUCAGAAGUGCGAAUGCUGACAUAAGUAACGAUAAAGCGGGUGAAAAGCCCGCUCGCCGGAAGACCAAGGGUUCCUGUCCAACGUUAAUCGGGGCAGGGUGAGUCGACCCCUAAGGCGAGGCCGAAAGGCGUAGUCGAUGGGAAACAGGUUAAUAUUCCUGUACUUGGUGUU
rnacentral:rRNA from 1 species